rnacentral:rRNA from 1 species
UACGGAGGGUGCAAGCGUUAUCCGGAUUCACUGGGUUUAAAGGGUGCGUAGGUGGGUAAGUAAGUCAGUGGUGAAAUCUCCGGGCUUAACCCGGAAACUGCCAUUGAUACUAUUUGUCUUGAAUACUGUGGAGGUCAGCGGAAUAUGUCAUGUAGCGGUGAAAUGCUUAGAUAUGACAUAGAACACCAACUGCGAAGGCAGCUGGCUACACAAAUAUUGACACUGAGGCACGAAAGCGUGGGGAUCAAACAGG